rnacentral:tRNA from 2 species
UCCACAGUAGCUCAGUGGUAGAGCAAUCGGCUGUUAACCGAUUGGUCGCAGGUUCGAGUCCUGCCUGUGGAGCCA